GGAAGGAGGCCCCUAGCCCAGCGCCCGGAUAACCAUCUCUCCCCCUCCCCCCACCACGGGCAUCCACGUGCUUCACAUUCUUGGACGUCUGGGAGCGGGCGGAGGCGUGAGCGGUGGCAGGAGGCGGUGGAGAACUCAGGUACACUACCUCACAGCUGGGUACGAACACGCCCAGGUGUGCACCCCAGGCG